CCCUUAGAUGUUCGGGGCCGCACGCGCGCUACACUGAAGGAAUCAGCACGUCUUUCUCCUUGUCCGAAAGGACUGGGUAACCCGCUGAACCUCCUUCGUGCUAGGGAUUGGGGUUUGUAAUUCUUCCCCAUGAACGAGGAAUUCCCAGUAAGCGCGAGUCAUAAGCUCGCGUUGAUUACGUCCCUGCCCUUUGUACACACCGCCCGUCGCUACUACCGAUUGGAUGGUUUAGUGAGAUCCUCGGAUUGGUCCCGGAGCGGCCUCUGGUCGUGCCGGAGUGCCGAAAAGAAUGUCGAACUUGAUCAUCUAGAGGAAGUAAAAGUCGUAACA
rnacentral:rRNA from 1 species